rnacentral:rRNA from 1 species
GUUAAAAAGGUAGUAGUUGAAACUUGGGCCUGGCUGGCGGGUCUCGCCUCACCGUUGCACUCGUCCGGCCGGGCCUUCCUUCUGAAGAACCUCAKGCCCUUCAUUGGGCAGUGUUGGGGAAUCAGGACUUUUACUUUGAAAAAAUUAGAGUGUUCAAAGCAGGCCUUUGCUCGAAUACGUUAGCAUGGAAUAAUAAAAUAGGGCGUGCGUUUCUAUUUUGUUGGUUUCUAGAGACGCCGCAAUGAUUAACAGGAACAGUCGGGGGCAUCAGUAUUCAGUUGUCAGAGGUGAAAUUCUUGGAUUUACUGAAGACUAACUACUGCGAAAGCAUUKGCCRAGGAUGUUUUCAUUAAUCAGGAACGAAAGUUAGGGGAUCGAAGACGAUCAGAUACCGUCSUAGUCKYAACCGUAAACUAUGCCKACUARG